UGGGGAAUAUUGGACAAUGGGGGCAACCCUGAUCCAGCAAUGCCGCGUGUGUGAAGAAGGUCUUCGGAUUGUAAAGCACUUUCGACGGGGACGAUGAUGACGGUACCCGUAGAAGAAGCCCCGGCUAACUUCGUGCCAGCAGCCGCGGUAAUACGAAGGGGGCUAGCGUUGCUCGGAAUGACUGGGCGUAAAGGGCGUGUAGGCGGUUUACACAGUCAGAUGUGAAAUCCCCGGGCUUAACCUGGGAGCUGCAUUUGAUACGUGUAGACUAGAGUGUGAGAGAGGGUUGUGGAAUUCCCAGUGUAGAGGUGAAAUUCGUAGAUAUUGGGAAGAACACCGGUGGCGAAGGCGGCAACCUGGCUCAUGACUGACGCUGAGGCGCGAAAAGCGUGGGGAGCAAACAGGAUUAGAUACCCUGGUAGUGCCACGCUGUAAAACGAUGUGUGCUAGAUGUUGGGU
rnacentral:rRNA from 1 species